rnacentral:rRNA from 1 species
AAGGGGCAGUAAGGCGUGGGUACCUACCUUGGGAUCCGGGAUAGCCGUCCGAGAGGGCGGGUAAUACCGGAUGAUCUCGAGAGAGCAAAGCUCCGGCGUCCCGAGAGGGGCCCACGUGAUAUUAGCUGGUUGGUGAGGUGACGGCUCACCAAGGCGGAGAUGUCUAGCGGGUGUGAGAGCACGACCCGCGCCACUCGCACUGAGACACUGGCGAGACACCUACGGGUGGCUGCAGUCGAGGAUCUUCGGCAAUGCGCGCAAGCGCGACCGAGCGACGCCGCGUGGGCGAUGAAGGCCUUCGGGUUGUAAAGCCCUGUCGAGGGGGAGAAAAGCUCGAAAGAGUGUGACCUAUCCCUGGAGGAAGCUCGGGCUAAGUUCGUGCCAGCAGCCGCGGUAAGACGAACCGAGCGAACGUUGUUCGGAAUCACUGGGCUUAAAGGGUGCGUAGGCGGGCUGCCAAGUUUGAGGUGAAAUCCUCCGGCUCAACCGGGGAAGUGCCUUGAAUACUGGCGGUCUGGAGGGAGGUAGGGGCGUGCGGAACUAACGGUGGAGCGGUGAAAUGCGUUGA